rnacentral:tRNA from 2 species
CAGGGAGACAACAAAAUGUUUAAUAUUAUUAUUUUGUCACCUUAGGUCGAUCGGUAUCUCACGUUUUUAAUUUAUUAAGAAUUUCAUUUCCUAAGUUUUUCUAGGUCACACCCAUUAUUUUUCCUGGGCCAUUAGCUCAGGUGGUUAGAGCGCACCCCUGAUAAGGGUGAGGUCCCUGGUUCAAGUCCAGGAUGGCCCAUAUCUCUAUGUUGGGGGUAUAGCUCAGUUGGUAGAGCGCCUGCUUUGCAAGCAGGAUGUCAGCGGUUCGAGUCCGCUUACCUCCACUGAUUACCACCUCUUUCAUAACCGGUAAAAAGGAAAUGUUUUGAGUUGUGAUCAAAUUCUGAAAGAAUCUAGCUUCCUAAUGAAAUCAUUAAGAUGCUGGACUCAUUGAAUUAAUUUCAUUGUUUUCAGAGAACCUUGACAACUGCAUAGAUUAUUUUUAAAGACAAUAAGCAUCUUUAAUGAUGCAGAUUUAUUAUUUGUGCGAAUGCAUUAAUAACAAUUCUAUUAAGCUGAUGCUUCAAUUUUUGAAGUUAUU